rnacentral:rRNA from 1 species
GACGAACGCUGGCGGCGUGCCUAAUACAUGCAAGUCGAACGCUUCUUUCCUCCCGAGUGCUUGCACUCCAUUGGAAAGAGGAGUGGAGGACGGGUGAGUAACACGUGGGUAACCUACCCAUCCGAGGGGGAUAACAUUUGGAAACAGGUGCUAAUACCGCAUAACAGUUUAUGCCGCAUGGCUUAAGAGUGAAAGGCGCUUUCGGGUGUCGCUGAUGGAUGGACCCGCGGUGCAUUAGCUAGUUGGUGAGGUAACGGCGUACCAAGGCCACGAUGCAUAACUGACCUGAGAGGAUGAUCGGCCACACUGGAACUGAGACACGGCCCAGACUCCUACGGGAGGCAGCAGUGGGGAAUCUUCGGCAAUGGACGAAAGUCUGACCGAGCAACGCCGCGUGAGUGAAGAAGGUUUUCGGAUCGUAAAACUCUGUUGUUAGGGAAGAACAGGGACAUUAGUAACUGAACGUCCCCUGACGGUAUCUAACCAGAAAGCCACGGCUAACUACGUG